AUUGCGAUCAAUUUUUGGGGAUUAGAUUCUGGCCCGUCUUCAUCUUCAGACAGGAACCGCAAGAAUCCGUGACCCCCGGAUUUGAACUAUGAUACUGAUGCCAGCAUUAACAACCCACCCUCCCUACCACCAUCACCAGGUCGGUUCCGUCCAUACUCAAGGGGGAUUAGAUUCUGGCCCGUCUUCAUCUUCAGACAGGAACCGCAAGAAUCCGUGACCCCCGGAUUUGAACUAUGGUCGGGGCCUACGCCAAAGAACUAUACUGUGUUACAUUCUAACCUUGGUUGCUAACUACUGUUAAAUAAACUCAUAUGUCAAGUCUUAACCUA